rnacentral:rRNA from 1 species
ACGGGAGGCAGCAGGUGGGAAUAUUGGACAAUGGACGAAAGUCUGAUCCAGCAAUACUGCGUGAAUGAUGAAGGCCUUUGGGUUGUAAAGUUCUUUUAAUAGGGAAGAUAAUGACGGUACCUAUAGAAUAAGCACCGGCAAACUUCGUGCCAGCAGCCGCGGUAAUACGAAGGGUGCUAGCGUUGUUCGGAAUUAUUGGGCGUAAAGGGUGUGUAGGUUGUUUGAUAAGUUGGUUGUGAAAUACCAAGGCUCAACCUUGGAAUUGCAGUCAAAACUAUUUUACUUGAGUAUGAUAAGCGAUGGCAGAAUUUCUAGUGUAGGGGUAAAAUCCGCAGAUAUUAGAAAGAAUACCGGUGGUGUAGACGGCUAUCUUGGUCAUUACUGACACUGAGACACGAAAGUGUGGGGAGCAAACAGGAUUAGAUACCCUGGUA